GACGUAGGAGGCGAGCGUUGUCCGGAUUCAUUGGGCGUAAAGAGCACGCAGGCGGUUUGGCAAGUCGGAUGUGAAAACCCGGAGCUCAACUCCGGACCUGCAUCCGAAACUGCCCGACUAGAGGUAGGUAGGGGAGAUCGGAAUUCCUGGUGUAGCGGUGAAAUGCGCGGAUAUCAGGAGGAACACCGGUGGCGAAGGCGGGUCUCUGGGCCGAUACUGACGCUGAGGAGCGAAAGCGUGGGGAGCGAACAGG
rnacentral:rRNA from 1 species